rnacentral:rRNA from 1 species
AGAUUGAACGCUGGCGGCAGGCCUAACACAUGCAAGUCGAGCGGUAGAGAGGUGCUUGCACCUUUUGAGAGCGGCGGACGGGCGAGUAAUGCCUAGGAAUCUGCCUAGUGGUGGGGGAUAACGUUCGGAAACGGACGCUAAUACCGCAUACGUCCUACGGGAGAAAGCGGGGGACCUUCGGGCCUCGCGCCAUUAGAUGAAGCCUAGGUCGGAUUAGCUAGUUGGUGAGGUAAUGGCUCGACCAAGGCGACGAUCCGUAACUGGUCU